GGCCGUGUAGCCCAAUGGCAGAGGCCGCCGUCUCAGAAACGGUGCAGUGGAGGUUCGAAUCCUCCCACGGUCAC
rnacentral:tRNA from 1 species